rnacentral:rRNA from 1 species
UAGGGAAUCUUCCGCAAUGGACGAAAGUCUGACGGAGCAACGCCGCGUGAGUGAUGAAGGUUUUCGGAUCGUAAAACUCUGUUGUUAGGGAAGAACAAGUACCGGAGUAACUGCCGGUACCUUGNCGGUACCUAACCAGAAAGCCACGGCUAACUACGUGCCAGCAGCCGCGGUAAU